rnacentral:rRNA from 1 species
UACGAAGGGGGCGAGCGUUGUUCGGAUUUACUGGGCGUAAAGGGCGCGUAGGCGGCUCUUCAAGUCAGGCGUGAAAUCCCCGGGCUCAACCUGGGAAUGGCAAUGGAGACUGCAAGGCUAGAGUUUGGCAGAGGGGGGUAGAAUUCCACGUGUAGCAGUGAAAUGCGUAGAUAUGUGGAGGAACACCGGUGGCGAAGGCGGGUCUCUGGGCCGAUACUGACGCUGAGGAGCGAAAGCGUGGGGAGCGAACAGG